AUCCACUGUUCCCUGAUAUUGCUGAGAUGAUCUAGGCUGUACAUAGCACAUGUGCAGCAGCGAUGAAGAAGUGACUAGCAAGUUACUGCUCAGCCUUCCCCUAGGAAAUAGUUCUGAAUUCAUACCAUAAAGAAAAAGUUCCAAUAAUUACAAGUUUCAACAGGUAGACGGAAACAGUAUUUAAAAUAAUUUUGUUGAUUUGUAAAAAAAUUAAAUUUUAGUUUUAAAUAAAAGUAUUUGAAUUUCA